rnacentral:rRNA from 1 species
CGGUUUGGGUGGCGGACGGGUGAGUAACGCGUAAGGAACUUGCCUCACAGACUGGGACAACAUCUGGAAACGAAUGCUAAUACCGGAUAUUAUGAUUUUAGUGCAUGCUAGAAUUAUGAAAGCUAUAUGCGCUGUGAGAGAGCUUUGCGUCCCAUUAGCUAGUUGGAGAGGUAACGGCUCACCAAGGCGAUGAUGGGUAGCCGGCCUGAGAGGGUGAACGGCCACAAGGGGACUGAGACACGGCCCUUACUCCUACGGGAGGCAGCAGUGGGGAAUAUUGGACAAUGGACCGAGAGUCUGAUCCAGCAAUUCUGUGUGCACGAUGAAGUUUUUCGGAAUGUAAAGUGCUUUCAGUUGGGAAGAAAAAAAUGACGGUACCAACAGAAGAAGUGACGGCUAAAUACGUGCCAGCAGCCGCGGUAAUACGUAUGUCACAAGCGUUAUCCGGAUUUAUUGGGCGUAAAGCGCGUCUAGGCGGCUAUGUAAGUCUGAUGUGAAAAUGCGGGGCUCAACUCCGUAUUGCGUUGGAAACUGUGUAGCUAGAGUAUCGGAGAGGUAAGCGGAACUACAAGUGUAGAGGUGAAAUUCGUAGAUAUUUGUAGGAAUGCCGAUGGGGAAGCCAGCUUACUGGACGAAUACUGACGCUAAAGCGCGAAAGCGUGGGUAGCAAACAGGAUUAGAUACCCUGGUAGUCCACGCUGUAAACGAUGAUUACUAG